rnacentral:rRNA from 1 species
CACGUAGGGUGCGAGCGUUGUCCGGAAUUAUUGGGCGUAAAGAGCUCGUAGGCGGUGUGUCGCGUCGGCCGUGAAAACCUGCAGCUUAACUGUGGGCUUGCGGUCGAUACGGGCAUCACUGGAGUUCGGCAGGGGAGACUGGAAUUCCUGGUGUAGCGGUGAAAUGCGCAGAUAUCAGGAGGAACACCGGUGGCGAAGGCGGAUCUCUGGGCCUUACUGACGCUGAGGAGCGAAAGCGUGGGGAGCGAACAGG